AUGACAGCCUGUGGUGUGGGGCUGGGGACCGGGCUGGCUGCCGGCAGCACCAAACAACCUUUAUGGGGCGAUGCUCCCGCGGGAGGCAGGGUCCGGGGGUGGCAGAGCGGCACCGCGCUGCCAGGCCGUCCCCGUCUCGGCGUUCGCCACGUCUGCCAGUUGGUGCCGGGGCCCGGCAGCCUCCCCGGAGAUCUUGUUUCUGGAAACCAGAGAAGCCUUGGCGCGUCCCCCACCGCCUCCCGGUGCCGCUGUCGGCCCCACACCUGCAGCCCAGCCCGGCUGUCGGCCUGCUCGCCAUUCCCCGCCAGAUCGCUUGGCUCUCCCUCUGCCUUGGGGAGCAACGAGAUCCCGGCGCCAGCCGUGUGCCAGCAAGAGCGGAGAAGGGUUUUGUGCUUGGGGGAGGAUGCCAGGACCACGCCGUGGGGCUGGAAGGGCAGUGGGAGGCAGGAAGGACUGUGGGUCCAUCCCAGAAGCAGGGAGCACGGCUGCAUGUCCGGCACACUCCGGGCAGAAGGGUCGGGAUGCAGGACAUAUCACUUUCAUGGAAUCAUGGAAUCGUCAAGGUUGGGAGGGACCUUUCAGAUCAUGGAGUCCAACCACCGACCCAACCCUGCCCAAACCCCACUGACCCAUGGCCCUCAGCACCACGUCUGCCCGGCUUUUAAAUCCCUCCAGGGAUGGCGACUCCCCCACUGCCCUGGGCAGCCUCUUCCAAGGCUUCACAACCCUUUCCAUGAAGAAAUUUCUCCCAAUAUCCAUCCUAAACCUCCCCUGGUGCAACUUGGGGCCAUUUCCUCUUGUCCCAUCGCCUGUUCCUUGGGAGAAGAGACUGACCCCCCCCGGCUACACCCUCCUUUCAGGGAGUUGGAGAGAGUGAGAAGGUCUCCCCUCAGCCUCCUUUUCUCCAGGCUGAACCCCCCAGGUCCCUCAGCUGCUCCUCACAAGACUUGGUCUCCAGACCCCUCACCAGCUCCAUUGCCCUUCUCUGGACACACUCCAGCCCCUCAAGAAUCCCAAGUCCCCACAGGCCCACACUGCCUUUUUGGCCCAAUGCCAUGA
rnacentral:lncRNA from 1 species